GCAAGUCGAGCGGGAUGACGGGAGCUUGCUCCUUGAUUCAGCGGCGGACGGGUGAGUAAUGCCUAGGAAUCUGCCUGGUAGUGGGGGACAACGUUUCGAAAGGAACGCUAAUACCGCAUACGUCCUACGGGAGAAAGCAGGGGACCUUCGGGCCUUGCGCUAUCAGAUGAGCCUAGGUCGGAUUAGCUAGUUGGUGGGGUAAUGGCUCACCAAGGCGACGAUCCGUAACUGGUCUGAGAGGAUGAUCAGUCACACUGGAACUGAGACACGGUCCAGACUCCUACGGGAGGCAGCAGUGGGGAAUAUUGGACAAUGGGCGAAAGCCUGAUCCAGCCAUGCCGCGUGUGUGAAGAAGGUCUUCGGAUUGUAAAGCACUUUAAGUUGGGAGGAAGGGCAGUAAGCUAAUACCUUGCUGUUUUGACGUUACCGACAGAAUAAGCACCGGCUAACUCUGUGCCAGCAGCCGCGGUAAUACAGAGGGUGCAAGCGUUAAUCGGAAUUACUGGGCGUAAAGCGCGCGUAGGUGGUUUGUUAAGUUGGAUGUGAAAGCCCCGGGCUCAACCUGG
rnacentral:rRNA from 1 species